GAAGCUGAACCGGAAGUUGACAACCUUCUAGUUUCAGAUGCUACUCCAGACGGUUUCCGUCUGUCCUGGACUGCUGAUGAAGGGAUAUUCGACAGUUUUGUUAUCAGGAUCAGAGAUACCAAAAAGCAAUCUGAACCACAAGAAAUAACCCUCCCUUCCCCCGACCGUACCAGGGACAUAACAGGUCUCAGAGAGGCCACUGAGUACGAAAUUGAACUCUAUGGAAUAAGCCGUGGAAGGCGAUCCCAGCCAGUCAGUGCCAUAGCAACAACA
rnacentral:misc_RNA from 1 species